UGGGGAAUCUUGGACAAUGGGCGCAAGCCUGAUCCAGCCAUGCCGCGUGAGUGAAGAAGGCCUUCGGGUUGUAAAGCUCUUUUGUCAGGGAAGAAACGGUAGUAGCGAAUAACUAUUACUAAUGACGGUACCUGAAGAAUAAGCACCGGCUAACUACGUGCCAGCAGCCGCGGUAAUACGUAGGGUGCAAGCGUUAAUCGGAAUUACUGGGCGUAAAGCGUGCGCAGGCGGUUGUGUAAGUCAGAUGUGAAAUCCCCGGGCUCAACCUGGGAAUUGCAUUUGAGACUGCACGGCUAGAGUGUGUCAGAGGGGGGUAGAAUUCCACGUGUAGCAGUGAAAUGCGUAGAUAUGUGGAGGAAUACCGAUGGCGAAGGCAGCCCCCUGGGAUAACACUGACGCUCAUGCACGAAAGCGUGGGGAGCAAACAGGAUUAGAUACCCCAGUAGUCCCUGAGCGGGCUGGCAAGGCGCAU
rnacentral:rRNA from 1 species